GAAAAAACCAAAAAAACCCAAACAAAAUAGAUAUACACGUGAUCAGAAACUCAAGAUCUAGCAAACUAAAGAAUUAGCAAAAGAAUAUCUUACUACUCUCCUUGGGACAACAGAAAUCACACUGGAACAACUGCUGGCAACCUCCAUCUCCCAAGGUCGAUAAGGUCUUACCAGGCCUCACUACUCAACAUGGCAGAACCGACAGCAGGGAACCUGCACCUCCAGAGCCACUGGAAGGAAAGAAAGCAAAGGAAGGGAAAUUAAAUGAGAUGCAAGGGCUCUGCUCAGUUGAUUCCUCCACAUCCAUUUCUUAUGUUUUGGAAUUUCCAUGACCAAAAAUUAUCUUCUGAACACCAAAGAAGGGCUGAAGAGAAGUUUUUCACAAACAACUAAACAUUGCUCAGAAUUCAGGCGCCAAGCUCCUCUGUUUAAAACCCUGUUAAGCAGCUGACUUAACUAAAGGGAGAACCAUACAAUCUAUUGAAUCAAGCAUCUAUUUCACAGAGAAGUCUUUGUAAAAAUAGAAAACCCAGACAGCAAUAUUUUUUUAUAUAAUGGAUCAAUUUGAAAUAAUAUGUAUUAAAGAGGAAAUCUACAACUGAUCAUAUUGCUACCCCCCACUUUACAGCUCUUCAGAUCUAUUUGAAUGAAAAAAGCAAAGCUGGAAAAUCAAGUACAUACAUAUGGACAUAUUUCCCUCUGCUUUUCUUUACCAGUUGAAUUUUCAGGUUGUUUCUGCACAGUAUAAAGCCUUUGCUGGAGGAUAUUUUCUGUAUGCUGCCCCAUGUCUGCUGCCUGCUCUUUGGCCUUCUCCACAUCCCUACACUCAUCUCUUAAUAAACCAACUGUUUGAGGAGCCAGCUGAGACAAGCAUCCAUCUACUUUUCCAGCAGCUA